rnacentral:rRNA from 1 species
GAGGGUUUGAUCCUGGCUCAGGGCGAACGCUGGCGGCGCGCCUAACACAUGCAAGUCGAGGGGGAAAGGGCGGCUUCGGCUGCCCGAGUACACCGGCAGACGGGUGAGUAACGCGUGGGUAACCUGCCUUGGGGUCUGGGAUAACCACCCGAAAGGGUGGCUAAUACCGGAUACGUUCCUGAGGUGCGAGCCGAGGGAAGAAAGGGUGCCGCUGCAUAGCAAGCACCUGCCCUAAGAGGGGCCCGCGUCCCAUCAGCUAGUUGGUGAGGUAACGGCUCACCAAGGCGACGACGGGUAGCCGGCCUGAGAGGGUGGUCGGCCACACUGGCACUGAGACACGGGCCAGACUCCUACGGGAGGCAGCAGUGGGGAAUCUUGGGCAAUGGCCGAAAGGCUGACCCAGCGACGCCGCGUGGGGGAAGAAGGCCUUCGGGUCGUAAACCCCUGUCAAGGAGGAAGAAGCCCUUUCUGGUUAAGAGCUAGGAGGGGUUGACGGUACUCCUGGAGGAAGCCACGGCUAACUCCGUGCCAGCAGCCGCGGUAAUACGGAGGUGGCGAGCGUUGCCCGGAAUCACUGGGCGUAAAGGGGGCGUAGGCGGCCGGACGAGUCGGACGUGAAAGCCCGGGGCUCAACCCCGGAAUUGCGUUCGAUACUGUCUGGCUUGAGGUCCGGAGAGGCCGGCGGAAUUCCCGGUGUAGGGGUGAAAUCCGUAGAUAUCGGGAGGAACACCGGUGGCGAAGGCGGCCGGCUGGACGGCACCUGACGCUGAGGCCCGAAAGCGUGGGGAGCAAACCGGAUUAGAUACCCGGGUAGUCCACGCCGUAAACGAUGGGUGCUAGGUGUGGGGGGUUAGACCUUCCGUGCCGAAGCUAACGCAAUAAGCACCCCGCCUGGGGAGUACGGCCGCAAGGCUGAAACUCAAAGGAAUUGACGGGGGCCCGCACAAGCGGUGGAGCACGUGGUUUAAUUCGAUGCAAAGCGAAGAACCUUACCUGGGUUUGACAUGCUAGGGGACCUUCCAGAGAUGGGAGGGUGCCCGGGUUUUACCCGGGAGCCCUAGCACAGGUGCUGCAUGGCUGUCGUCAGCUCGUGUCGUGAGAUGUUGGGUUAAGUCCCGCAACGAGCGCAACCCUCGCCCUUAGUUGCCAGCGGGUAGAGCCGGGCACUCUAGGGGGACUGCCGGGGACAACCCGGAGGAAGGGGGG